UACAGAGGUCUCAAGCGUUGUUCGGAUUCAUUGGGCGUAAAGGGUGUGUAGGUGGCGCCGUAAGUCGGGUGUGAAAUCUCGGGGCUUAACUCCGAAACGCAUUCGAUACUGCGGUGCUUGAGGACUGGAGAGGAGACUGGAAUUCAUGGUGUAGCAGUGAAAUGCGUAGAGAUCAUGAGGAAGACCAGUGGCGAAGGCGGGUCUCUGGACAGUUCCUGACACUGAGACACGAAGGCCAGGGGAGCAAACGGG
rnacentral:rRNA from 1 species